CCAGGCCUUUUUCUUCAUUCAGCCCGUUCCAACUCAUUUUCCAGCGACCCAUGCCGAAUUCCGACUCCUCCGACCCGCGCCCGUACCCGACCCAUUACCUUAUCCCGUUCCCCCUCUUUGAAGUUGAAAGCGUCUUCCAAAAGAACCCAGUACUAUUCCAAUAUUAUCAGCAGCAUCCAACGCGUGAAAGUCCAGACUCCCAACAACCGUCAAACGCAAGUGAGAUGCCCAACGCGCACCGCUCAGUUCCAGCGAACGGCGAGUUCACAGAAAGGAAGCAAGAGACGCGGAGCUCUGCCUUUCGUCGUUUUCCCCGUCAUCCCUUUUUCGUACGAGCAGAAGAUAAUCGUCUUCCCAGUAUGAGAUUACUCCACGUCGCCUGCCAAGGACGGGAAAGAUUGGUUAAGAAAUUGGUUGGAGACUAUUGAGUUGGAAACUUUGAACUAAGGAAAAGAGAACAACAUAAACGAAUAGUUGUAAAAUACAUCCGAAAAGGGAGUGAAGAGUUCCUCGUUGGCAGUUGACACCCGACUUUGUAGUGGUGGAAUCAUCCUUUCAAGCUCGUUUGGUUCCAAGUUUGCUGCACUAGAAAAGGUAACCUCUUCCCCCUUACUAAGUUCUUCUGUGUUUGUCUUUUGAUUUUGAUUUUUGUGAUCAUGUUGUUUGGUUGAUUUUGCUGAUUUCCUUAAUGGAAAUUGAGUUGUAGUUUUCAGCAUUUAAAUAUAGGUGAAUGUCACUCCUCAUGCCAAUAAGAAUAUUUUGUUAUGUCAUCGAUCUAGUUAAGCUUGUUUGGAUUGAAUCUUUCCUGUUCAAUCUAAGGUUAUUUAUUAUUUGAAUAUUUUUGAUGUUGUACGGCUCGCUUUCAUUAUGUGCUCAUAUAUGAUUUUGCGUUUAGUCAAGGUUUCGUCAAGUUUCUCGUCUCAACUGAUUUGAUUCGAAUGCAUGGUUUAACUGUUAUCUUAUAUGCUUUUAUUGCUUUAUGGGUUCAUAUUGUGUCUACUUUCCUCAUGGUUUGGUUAAAUCACAUUUUGAGUUAAAUAUACAUGCAAGUUGAGAAUCGACUAAAAGCUUGUUAGUAGCAUCACUGGUUUCUUAUUUUUGUUAAUAAUGGAGGACGCAUUUCUUUUUACUUAUGAUAAGGUUUAUUCUGAAAUUGUUUGGCUGCAUUCUUGAUCUCGUUCGAAUGAUUUUACGGUAUUCGAGAUGGUUUUAAGUUCGUUUUCUAUCGAGAAUAUGUCACUCAUUUUAGGCUUAGUUUUAUGCCGGUUGAAUUCUCCUUCGGGAGUUUAACAAUUUUAAGGCUGAUUCUUUUUAAUCCAUUUUGUUUUGGUUUUAAAUGCUUACCCAGUUGCUUGGACAAUUGUAUUAAACCUUAAGAUGUCUCUACUGCCUUGGCUGGUUGUGCUCCCUUUCUUGAAGUUUUUUCUUUUGGAAAAAAAUUGUUAAAAGUAGAUAAAGAAAAUUCAUCCCUUUACUCUCGUUGUUCAUUUUGGUUUGUUUUUUUUUUAAAAAAAAAAGGGAAAAUAAAAAUAUAUGAAAAACGAUGGUAUAUAUAUAUGCUAUCUAUGUCUAUCGCUUUAUUCUUGUUUUUCUUUUGAAAUGUUUAGUGUAUUUGCAAAAGGGAUUGGUACAAAACGAGCUCUUUGUUUAUUUUACUUAUUUAUUUUUUAUUUUUUUUAAAUUCGACUUUCGCUAGACUUAGUCAUUAAGGUUGUUUGGAGCAUGAUUUCUUUAGGGCAUCAAUCUCAGGAAUCCUCCAUUCCAAUUUUAAGGUCUAUGGCUUUGUUUGUUCAUAUUUGCAUAUAUGAUUAAUGAUUCAUUUAAUGGCACGUCAACAUGAUAACACAUGGCAGGUCUAAAAUAUGGGAUUUGUUCAUUUCACAUAUGUCCAAUGUUUAACUUAUCCGUUAGUCUUAAUUUUGUUCUAAUGAGCAUGUGGUACAAAUUUUAUCAUAUAUAUAUAUAGGAAUUUUCGUCCCUUCUCAUCAUGGUAGUGGCUAGAGUAAUUGUCCAGGUCAUCUAAGUUGCUAGAUUAAUCUUUAAACGCAUCAUCAUAUUUUGCUAUGUUAAGUUAUCGAUCACCAUAAUGUUUCUCAAUUAUUUUAUAGAAAUGUAUUAGUCUUUCUCAUCAGCCUUUCUCAUCCCAUGCUAAUGUGAUUGUAUUUAUGUUUGGCAUGUAAAAUUUCCCCGGGAUUCACCACGAAUCCAUCCUCAAGCAUAUUGAGUGGGCCACGAAGGCCCCAAAAUUCCUUACUCGAGUCAAUUAUCCCAUAAAAUUGAUGAACAGAUCGCGGAGUCAAAAUUUUAAGAAGUCGGGAAUUUGAAGAAUUUGGGUCGAAAGGAGCUCUUUUAUUUAUUUUUCUAUUUUUGCAUUUUAUUAUCUUUGGGCCUAAGCCCUCAUUGUAUUAUUAUUACCUUGAAUAGUUUAGGACAGGUACAAAUUGAGUGGGCUUAAGUCCCAUAAACAAGCGGUUCAAAUACUGAUCCAGGCGGACAAAAAUUAGAUUUGGAUUCAACUC